rnacentral:tRNA from 1 species
CGGGGAUAUGGUUUAGUGGUAUAAUACUCCCUUAGCAUUCUAGCAUGGGAGUGGUCCGGCGUUCGAUUCGCCGUAUCUCCAACC